UAACUAUAGUGGGACAACUGGCAUCCCUUC
rnacentral:piRNA from 1 species